GAUGAACGCUGGCGGCGUGCUUAACACAUGCAAGUCGAACGAAGCACUUUAUUUGAUUUCCUUCGGGACUGAUUAUUUUGUGACUGAGUGGCGGACGGGUGAGUAACGCGUGGGUAACCUGCCUUGUACAGGGGGAUAACAGUUGGAAACGGCUGCUAAUACCGCAUAAGCGCACGGCAUCGCAUGAUGCAGUGUGAAAAACUCCGGUGGUAUAAGAUGGACCCGCGUUGGAUUAGCUAGUUGGUGAGGUAACGGCCCACCAAGGCGACGAUCCAUAGCCGACCUGAGAGGGUGACCGGCCACAUUGGGACUGAGACACGGCCCAAACUCCUACGGGAGGCAGCAGUGGGGAAUAUUGCACAAUGGGCGAAAGCCUGAUGCAGCGACGCCGCGUGAGCGAAGAAGUAUUUCGGUAUGUAAAGCUCUAUCAGCAGGGAAGAUAUUGACGGUACCUGACUAAGAAGCACCGGCUAAAUACGUG
rnacentral:rRNA from 1 species